UUAUAAGAGACAGCAGUCGCCACGGUAAUACGUAGGGUGCGAGCGUUAAUCGGAAUUACUGGGCGUAAAGCGUGCGCAGGCGGUUUUGUAAGACAGGCGUGAAAUCCCCGGGCUCAACCUGGGAAUGGCGCUUGUGACUGCAAAGCUAGAGUGCGGCAGAGGGGGAUGGAAUUCCGCGUGUAGCAGUGAAAUGCGUAGAUAUGCGGAGGAACACCGAUGGCGAAGGCAAUCCCCUGGGCCUGCACUGACGCUCAUGCACGAAAGCGUGGGGAGCAAACAGGAUUAGAUACCCCCGUAGUCCCUGUCUCUUAACA
rnacentral:rRNA from 1 species